rnacentral:rRNA from 1 species
AUGUCGGGCGACUGGGGCCCGGUGCUGAUCGCGACGGCCUUCUUCGUGGUGAUGCUGCCGGGGCUCAUCUGCGAGAUCCCCGGCGGCGGGGGGCGCGGCCGGCCCGAGUUCCACAGCAUGAAGACCAACGGCAUCGCCAUGUUCGUCCACACCGUCAUCUUCUUCGCCUUCUGCGCCAUCUUCAUGGUCGCCGUCGGCGUCCACGUCUACGCCGGCUAG